rnacentral:rRNA from 1 species
UACGUAGGGGGCUAGCGUUGCUCGGAAUCACUGGGCGUAAAGGGUGCGUAGGCGGGUCUUUAAGUCAGGGGUGAAAUCCUGGAGCUCAACUCCAGAACUGCCUUUGAUACUGAGGAUCUUGAGUUCGGGAGAGGGUGAGUGGAACUGCGAGUGUAGAGGUGAAAUUCGUAGAUAUUCGCAAGAACACCAGUGGCGAAGGCGGCUCACUGGCCCGAUACUGACGCUGAGGCACGAAAGCGUGGGGAGCAAACAGGG